AACGAACGCUGGCGGCAUGCCUAACACAUGCAAGUCGAACGAGACCUUCGGGUCUAGUGGCGCACGGGUGCGUAACGCGUGGGAACCUGCCCUUAGGUUCGGAAUAACUCAGAGAAAUUUGAGCUAAUACCGGAUAAUGUCUUCGGACCAAAGAUUUAUCGCCUUUGGAUGGGCCCGCGUAGGAUUAGCUUGUUGGUGGGGUAAUGGCCUACCAAGGCGACGAUCCUUAGCUGGUCUGAGAGGA
rnacentral:rRNA from 1 species